UUCCAGCAACAUGCUACCUUAAACAAACCCAAUCCCAUCUGAUUUUGGAAGCUAAGCAAGUUUGAGCUUAGUUAGUAAUUUGACAGGAGACCACCAGGUUGUAUGUGAGGUUUCCAGGUAG
rnacentral:rRNA from 1 species